rnacentral:rRNA from 1 species
AAGCAUAUCAAUAAGCGGAGGAAAAGAAACCAACAGGGAUUGCCCUAGUAACGGCGAGUGAAGCGGCAACAGCUCAAAUUUGAAAUCUGGCUCCAGGGCCCGAGUUGUAAUUUGUAGAGGAUGCUUUUGGUGCGGUGCCUUCCAAGUGCCCUGGAAUGGGACGCCACAGAGGGUGAGAGCCCCGUCUGGUUGGAUGCCAAGCCUCUGUAAAGCUCCUUCGACGAGUCGAGUAGUUUGGGAAUGCUGCUCUAAAUGGGAGGUAUAUGUCUUCUAAAGCUAAAUACCGGCCAGAGACCGAUAGCGCACAAGUAGAGUGAUCGAAAGAUGAAAAGCACUUUGAAAAGAGAGUUAAAAAGUACGUGAAAUUGUUGAAAGGGAAGCGUUUAUGACCAGACUUGGGCUUGGUUAAUCAUCCAGGGUUCUCCCUGGUGCACUUUUCCAGUCCAGGCCAGCAUCAGUUCGUCUCGGGGGAUAAAGGCUUCGGGAAUGUGGCUCUCUCCGGGGAGUGUUAUAGCCCGUUGCGUAAUACCCUGUGGCGGACUGAGGUUCGCGCUCUGCAAGGAUGCUGGCGUAAUGGUCAUCAACGACCCGUCUUGAAACA